GAGAGGGAGAGGACAGCUGACGGCGGCAUCAAGUUGCCGCUGAGGAAAGUCCCCACUCCGGCCGGAGACCCGGCUGCAUGCAAAUGCAGGCGGCGAGAGUCGCGGCGCUGGCACAGAAACGACACGGCCCCUGGUUUAACCUGUGAUGGAGCGGAUCUCCUGAGGUGCUAUCGGACCAGGGGAAGCGAUGGAACGGCGAAUCCCCGGGGGAGCAAGCCAAACAGGAACAUAACGGCAUUUCCGGGCCGGUUCCGGGUAUGGCGCAAAGCUGAAUGUUGUCGGAACAAAAUGGGGCUUAUUACUCCCACUC
rfam:Methanoplanus petrolearius DSM 11571, complete genome.